rnacentral:rRNA from 1 species
GAUGAACGCUGGCGGCGUGCCUAAUACAUGCAAGUCGAGCGAACAGACGAGGAGCUUGCUCCUCUGACGUUAGCGGCGGACGGGUGAGUCACACGUGGAUAACCUACCUAUAUGACUGGGAUCACUUCGGGAAACCGGCGCUAAUCCCGGAUAAUAUCUUGAACCACAUUGUUGAAUAGUGAAAGACGGCUUUGCUGUCACUUAUCGCUGGAUCCGCGCCGCAUUAGCUAGUUGGUAAGGUAACGGGUUUCCAAGGCUACGAUGCGUAGCCGACCGGACGGGCGGAUCGGCGGCCUUAGAGGGGGGCCGGCGUCAAGACUACUGCGGGAGGGCGCAGAAGGGAAUCUUCCGCAAUGGGCGGGAGCUUGACGGAGCAAGGCCGCGUGAGUGAUGAAGGUCUUCGGAGCGUAAAGCUCUGUUAUUAGGGAAGAACCAAUGUGUAAGUAACUAUGCCCGUCUUGACGGUACCUAAUCAGAAAGCCACGGCUAACUACGUG